CUCGGAUCUCGGAACACUAAAAGAAGGCAAAGAACCCUUCAGUUUCAGUUCUCAGUUACCAACAUUCAAAAACCGGAGAUGGGAUCUGGUGCUGGAAGUUUCCUCAAAGUUCUCCUUAAAAACUUCGAUGUUCUUGCUGGGCCUGUGGUUAGUUUGGUUUAGCCACUGUAUGCCUCAAUUCGGGUUAUAGAGACCAAAUCACCAACUGAUGAUCGCCAAUGGCUUACGUAUUGGAUUCUCUACUUUAUGAUUACACUCUUUGAGCUC